rnacentral:lncRNA from 1 species
AUCUCACCAGCCCCUGUUGGUUUGUUUUUUAGAGACAUGUUUUCUCUGUGUAGGCCUGGCUCUUGUGGGACUCAACGUUGUUUAAGACUGGCCUGGAACUAGCCUAAUGAGCCUUGACAGGAUUCACCUGUCUCUGCCUUCCUCAGAGUGGGGAUUAGAAGUGUGUGUCACCAUGCCAGUUUGUUGUUGUUUCUAAUGUAGGUUCUGGGUGUCUAACUCAGCACCUUAUUCUUGCAAGGCACACACUUUGUCAUCAGAGCUGUUCUCUCAGACCCUCCUCUUUAAGUUUAUUGUAUUGUGUGUGUUUUCGCAUUUAUGCUCAUGUUAUGGAGGCCAGAAGAGGAUGUUGGGUGUCCUAUCAUUCUGUCCUGUUCCCUUGAGACAGGGUCUUUCACAGACUCUGGAGCUAGAUUUGCAGUCAGCAAGCCCCAGUGAUCCUUUUGACCUUGACCUUCGAGGUGCUGGGUUAGAGAUGUGUGCGGCCUCACCCAGCUUCUUAUGAGAAUGCUGGGGAUUGGAACUCAAAUUCUCAUGUCUGCUGAGCCAUCCAUCUCUCCAGCUACCUCCACCUUUUAAGAUUUUGUUUGUGUUUUGAAGCAGGGUCUCAGGUAGCCUGGAUUGCUGGUCAGAUUUGUUGCAUGAGGAUAUAUACCCUGGACUUUCUUUUUUUAACUUAGGUAUACGUAUGUGUGUCUGUGUAUGUGCCUGAGGAGGUGAGAGAGGUGUCAGCUCCCUGACACUGGAGCUCUAGGCAGUAGCAAGCUGCCUGAUAGGGGUGCAGGGAAGUGAAUCUGGGUCCUACAAGAGCAAUGUGCUCUUAAUACUGAGCAUUUUCCAUCCAUCCAGCCGAGACCUUGAAGCUCUGAUCCUCACGUCUCUUCCUCUGUAGUGAACCACCAAUUCCACUGAGAGAGGAUAUGUCUUUAUGUAGCACUGGGUGUCCUGGGACCUGGACCUGUGACUGGCCUCCACCUCAAAGAGAUCUGCCUGCCUUUGCUUCCUGAGGUUGGAAUUAAAGGCUUGUGCUACUACCAGGUCUGGGCCUUUAUAAGAUCUGAGUGAUAGAACUCAGUUGUCUUCAUAAGAUGGAAGUUAACUUUGGACGUCUCCUUCAUACUCUUCACUGCCUUUCUUUUCUUUCUUUCUUUCUUUCUUUCUUUUUUCUUUUUCUUUUUUUUUUUUUUUCGAGACAGGGUUUCUCUGUAUCCCUGGCUGUCCUGGAGCUCACUUUGUAGACCAGGCUGGCCUCGAACUCAGAAAUCCUCCUGCCUCUGCCUCCCGAGUGCUGGGAUUAAAGGCGUGUGCCACCACGCCAGGCCUUCACUGCCUUUCUUUUUCUCCAUCCAUGCUAGAGUACUCAGGGCCUCAUGCUAUGCAGGCUCUUUCCUCCCACUGAGCUAUCAGCCCCCUUCACUUUAUCUUAGGUGGCUGCUAUUCAUGUGCUCAGACUGUUGAACAGAACGGAAGUGAGAAGAAUAGCAUAGGUUGAGAGUUUGAGCAUGGUUUUAGUUAUAUGAGAUGAGGAGAGUGUGGCUUUCAAUCAGAAUGUCCUGAAAUCCUGACAAUUUGGAACUUGUGAGACAGGUCUUAGGAAGCAGUACUUCUUGUGUAAGAUAAGUUGAAAGGGAUUCUGAGGUGGUUAUGUUUAUAUAAACCUUUUUGUUUAUUUGUUUGUUUUUGUUUUUGGAGGCUAGGUUUCUUUUCUUACCCCUGGAUGACCUGGGACUCAGAGAUCCACUUGCCACUGUCUCCCAAAUGCUGGAAUUAAUGUUCAGUUUAUAUAUAAACCUCUUUAUUUGUGUUGUUGGUUUGUGAAACUAGACAGUUUAGUAAGUGUGUUGUGACUGGAAGUGUGUGUGUGUGUGUGUGUCUAUCUGUCUAAGUCCUGGACACAACACCUUAACACAGACAAAUCAAAAUUCAUCUCUUUUAAGAUAGUCCACUUGUGGCUGUCUUGGAACUUAUUCUGUAGACCAGGCUGGUCUUGAACUCAGAUCCUCCUUCUACCUCCCAAGUGCUGGAAAUAAAGGCAUGUGUCACCAGCGACUUCUGCUUUUAUUUAUUUGAUGUCUUCUGUGUGUGACUUCUGUUCACGCCAUGCAUGUGUAGGUCAAAGGCCAACUUUCUCCGCUUGGUUUUUACCUUCUACCCUGUGGGAUUCUGGAAUUGAACUCGGAUCUUCAGGCUUAGCAGUAGGCACCGGUCCCCAUUGAGCCAUCUUACUAUCCCUACUUCUGCUUUUAAAUACAGACUGAAUAUAGUCUGAGGUAAGCACUGCGUAUAGCACACAUGAAAUUUGGACACUGACAUAUAUUUAUUUAUUUAUUUAUUUACUUUGUAGCUGUCAUCAGACACACCGGAAGAGGGCAUCAGAUCCCAUUACAGAUGGUCGUGGGCCACCAUGCAGUUGCUGGGAUGUGAACUCAGGACCUCUGGAAGAGUAGUCAGUGCUCUUAACCUCUGAGCCAUCUCUCCAGCCCGAGAUGGUGAUUUUUUAAGUGUUGUCUUGAGUUAGUAGACUUUUUUGCAUCAAGUGGGAAUUUUGAUUUUAGGGCUUAGUUUGGACUUAGACUUAUAAGGUCUGAAGCUGCAGCUCUGCUGUAGAGUUUCCCUGUGUUCAGAGUCCUGCAUUCAGUUUUAAGCAUUGCCCACUCACUCCCGUAAGUUGUAACUCAUACUUGCUGUGGGAAUUAAUUAAAAAAGAGAACCGUCGCCGGGUGUGGUGGCGCACGCCUUUAAUCCCAGCACUUGGGAGGCAGAGGCAGGCGGAUUUCUGAGUUCGAGACCAGCCUGGUCUACAGAGUGAGUUCCAGGACAGCCAGGGCUACAGAGAAACCCUGUCUCGAACCCCCCCCC